UGCGUAGGGACCAAGCGUUGUUCGGAUUUACUGGGCGUAAAGGGCGCGUAGGCGGCUUAACAAGUCACUUGUGAAAUCUCCGGGCUUAACUCGGAACGGCCAAGUGAAACUGUCAAGCUAGAGUGCAGAAGGGGCAAUCGGAAUUCUUGGUGUAGCGGUGAAAUGCGUAGAUAUCAAGAGGAACACCUGAGGUGAAGACGGGUUGCUGGGCUGACACUGACGCUGAGGCGCGAAAGCCAGGGGAGCAAACGGG
rnacentral:rRNA from 1 species